UACGGAGGGUGCAAGCGUUGCUCGGAAUCACUGGGCGUAAAGCGACCGCAGGCGGCCUGACAAGUCGGAUGUGAAAGCCCUGGGCUCAACUCAGGAAUUGCAUUCGAAACUGGCAGGCUCGAGUACGGGAGAGGGGGGUGGAAUUCCGUGGUGUAGGGGUGAAAUUCGUUGAUAUCAGGAGGAACACCGGCGGCGAAGGCGGCCCCCUGGCCCGCAACUGACGCUCAUGGUCGAAAGCGUGGGGAGCAAACAGG
rnacentral:rRNA from 1 species